GGAAAGUUCAUAUUUUUUUUCAGAUUUCGGCUACAAAUACCAAAUACCGACAACACUAUUUUCCCUUUUUAAACCCCGAUUUUGAUCCAUUUCACCUUUCGAUUCAAAACCCAUAAGCUAAUUUUUCUAAAAAACUCUAAUCUAAUAAAUAGUUAAAGUUCGAUCUUGAAUGUUCCUUUAUAUUUCUUUUCCAGCUUUUGAGGUUUGCAAUUUCC
rnacentral:lncRNA from 1 species